AGUGAACGCUGGCGGUAGGCCUAACACAUGCAAGUCGAACGGCAGCACAGUAAGAGCUUGCUCUUACGGGUGGCGAGUGGCGGACGGGUGAGGAAUACAUCGGAAUCUACUUUUUCGUGGGGGAUAACGUAGGGAAACUUACGCUAAUACCGCAUACGACCUACGGGUGAAAGCAGGGGAUCUUCGGACCUUGCGCGAUUGAAUGAGCCGAUGUCGGAUUAGCUAGUUGGCGGGGUAAAGGCCCACCAAGGCGACGAUCCGUAGCUGGUCUGAGAGGAUGAUCAGCCACACUGGAACUGAGACACGGUCCAGACUCCUACGGGAGGCAGCAGUGGGGAAUAUUGGACAAUGGGCGCAAGCCUGAUCCAGCCAUACCGCGUGGGUGAAGAAGGCCUUCGGGUUGUAAAGCCCUUUUGUUGGGAAGGAAAGCAGCAGGUUAAUACCCCGCUGUUCUGACGGUACCCAAAGAAUAAGCACCGGCUAACUUCGUG
rnacentral:rRNA from 1 species